UGUUGCACUGGGCCUGAAACUUGUUAGAAAAUUCUUUGAACGAGUUAGAAAUGAACUUUGCCCACAUGGGGGACAAGGCUCAUUUCUAACAAGUUUGAGGAAAUCUGCAACUAAAUAUUUAUUAGCAGUCCAUUAAAAGAAAGCUUGCCAACUGAGGACAUGUUCUCCAAGGCUUGUUAUGACAGGUUAAGCCUGGCUUGCUGGCACCCUUAAGUUUGGAUUUUCCAUCCAUUAUUUUUAGUUACUUUUGGUAUUUAACAGGAAUUCAAGGAAAAAUAAUAUUUGAAAGCAAGAGGAGGUUUUAGAAUUCAUGUUUGCUGUUGUACAUGUACCUUGUGGAAGAGUAACAUAGAAAACCAACAAUAGUAGUCAUCUUGAUGAAACCUUUCAAGCUAUUCACUGCAACAAUGACGUCAGAUCUCAUCCUGAAUUUCAGUCCAAGCCUCUCCAUACGAGCGACAUGACUUCCCUUGAGAAUCCUCAGAAGUGUGGGUUCAGAACCCACAUUUGCAAACACAAAAACAUGCUUGCCGACUUCAAUUCGAAAUUUAAAAAUAAAAAACGUUUUGAAACGGAGGAUCAUGUUUGUGAUAUGCUGCUUCAUUUCCUUUCUCUUUGUCCCACAAAUGGAGAGGGAGAGAGAGGGAAAAGGAGAGGUUGGGAGGGAGGAGCUCAGCAGCAGGUGGCAAGGGGUGGACCUUCACAAGCAACUGGAGGGGUGGGGCUAUGCUUGCGCGUAGGGGAGGGCACAAAAUCAAGUCACGAGGAGGAGGGGAGUGUGGAAUCAAGUCGUGAGGGGGGAGGGGAGUCCCAUAACCAAGUCGCGUGGAGGAGAGCACAGAAUCAAGUCAUGAGGAGGGACGGGAGUGUCGAAACGUAGUCAUGAGGGGGAAGUAAGUGUUGAACCAUUUUAAAAGGUGGAACCAUGCUGGUCCCGAAUGAGUCUGGUUUGUACAUUUUGAACUAGUUGGUUCGGCAUGGUUCAACGGACUCUGCUGUCAUGGUUAAAGGGGUACAGUGAAUGACCUGCCCCUCUUCGAACUGACCAUUAUUUAUCAAUAGGGUUAGGAAGCCAUGAAAUAGUUGCUCACUCCCACUCAUGGUGGAGAUUCGGAAGAGCCAUCAGUAAACCUUCCCCCCAUCUCUCCCCCUUCCUCCCCCCCUCCCUCUCCCCCCUCUUUCUCUUCCACUCUCUCUUUCCUCUUCCCCUCCCUCUCUCUAUUUCUAUAUGCCCUAGAAUGGCACAGUAUGGACCCAUACCAUGCCGAACCAAUCACCAUUUGGUACAAUCUCCAGUACUGGUUCGGCGAACCUUCAUUGGAAUUGACUGAAAUAUAAACUAGUUGAAACUGACUGAAACUAAUGAGAACUCUAAAAACUAGGCAUGUCUCGAAUUAUUCUCAUUCAAAACUUAGAACCUUGUAUACAUGCAACAACCAUCAAGGACACAGCAUUUUGUAUUGUAGAUCCAUGAGUCAUCUAGCCUUCAAGACCAAAAUAGCUUAGUGUGCUAGUUUAUAAAGUUAUUCAGUAUUUGCAUGAGUGUCUCAACUUUAACUACAAUUAUGUGUCGAUAAACUUAUCAAAUAGACUUUCAGAUCUAUUUUAGUUGUGCCUCUAUAAAGGACAACCGUGCUCUCGUAAAGUGUACGAUUGCUUGCAAAGCAAACUUCUAUUUAAGUAGGACUUGCCUUAGUACACAUUGUUGAGCUUGUCUGACAUCAACAUUGUGGUUAUUGCAAAUGUUGGUGCAAAUAUAAUCAUCCAAAGGCAAAAGAAAUUGACCAUCAUCAACAAACCUAUGGAUCAAAUUCUUAUUACCCUUUGGAUCUACAUAGACGUCCCCUACCAGUAUUCUAGAACUUGAUCCACUGAUUAUGGGAUAUCUACUUGGUUGGAUUAGCUUGACUUGUCUGAAACGAAAGCAAACAUUUUAACAUAGAAUAUGGCUCAAACCAUUGGCUUUGACACCUAGAGUUAUUUAAAAUACCAAAAGUCAAAGUAACAAGAAAGUACAAUAAACAAGCUAUCUGGUUUGGCAAAUUUCAUAUAUCUAUGCACAGGCUUUCUUAAUUCUGUUAGAAAAUAAUGGAAUCUGAUGAAUAAUACAACACAACGUACAAAAAUUCAAGAGGGAACCAGAGCAGAAAAUGAUGAUAUGCAUGUCAUUCAAGCCCUUAACCAUGAUGAUGAUGAUCCCCUAAUCGGCCACAUUUCCGGGCCUCCUAGAACUCCACAGUUGAACAUGAUCUUCUUAAGAAAUUCUACAUUUCCUUGCAACCUUUUCUACACUACCACUAAACCUCCUUGCUGUGCAUAUUUGGAUUUACAGGAGAGCAUAAAUUUCUCCUCUAUAUUCUAUCUAUAAAAAUCUGAGUUGGGGUGUUAAUAUUUAGUUUUUCACUCAACAGCCGACAUGUUUUCUUCUUUCUGGGCUUCAUAGGCAAACAUGCAUCUAAAAUGUUCAAUCCCUGCUUAUCAUGAUUUUAUCAUGUUGGUGAAUCUUGUUGCUGCAAUUUGUUUUCUAAAUUCAAUGCCUGUUAACUAUCUCAUACAAAGUAAAAAUGACUUAGGCUUAGGCUUUUAAUUAGUCUCUAGAAGUGAAAGACGUUGCUUAUUACAAAUAUUGUAAUAACGGGAACUGUUUUGGGCACUAUUUACCUGUCUCUGUAGAAUGGCCAUGUCCCUGCAUUUUAUGGUAUAAUUAACUGUUCAUUUGACCCAGAAAAAAAAGUCAAUUUCAAUGAGUCUUGAUAAUUUUCUUUAUAAGUGAAUUUCACUUUCUGACCUAAUUUGUUACUUGUGCAGUUUAUACUACAAAAGAUAUGACACUGCUACCAUCUGCGUGUCCUGGAUAAAACCUUCUUUUCUUGUAUUUUUUAGAUUCCUGGUGCAUGAGAGCUCAAACACAGACAAGUUAAUGGAAUAAGUUUUGCUCAGAGACUACUGUGAGCGGUUCUAACUGAAGCUAGGCUUUUAGGGAUGAAGAAUAAACACAGAUUCGAGAAAUUCUUAACUUCCAUUUUUGGGACCCAUGUUGAUCCUGAGAACUCAGAAAUGUUGGAGAACAAGAAAGGUACUGCUCCAGCAUAAACUCUUUGUAAAUCCUGCUCUUGUUGAAUUAUGUCCUGAGAUUUUUGUCACUACUUUCUACAAAUUGCUUCCAUUGAUCAAAAUGAUGUCUGGUUAUGUUUCAACUUGUCUUUUGAUUGAACUUUUAUACCAGUGCAAGUACCUGAGAUUUUUAAAGAAUUUUUUCGUUAUAGUCUAUAAGACUGUUGCCUUCAUAUGGUUAUUGCUACAUCAGUUUGCCCAGUUUUUUGACAUGCAAACAUAUUCCCAUUGUUCUACUGUCUGAUAGUGUACGUUUAGGGUAAUCUGUGUUCUUUUCCAUGUCAUUUCACUUUUUUUUUCCAAAAAAAUAGUGCGAGAAAAACAGUUUCAUUUUUCUUUUUUGCAGACGUUGAGAAGAAUGUGGAGAAAAUACUCAAGCUGAUGAGUGGGGAGGAGAAUGGUGAAUCUGCAACUUCAUUUGACAAGUCCGAACUAGCUUCACUUAUUAAGGAUUUUCACAAUGGCUACCAAGCUCUCUAUGAACACUAUGAUCAUUUGAUUGGGAAGUUAAAGAAGAAAGUUCACCACAAAAGAGAAGACAAUGGAAGCUUUUCAUUUACCUUCAGUUCCUCUGAAUCAGACUCAUCAGAUUCGGGAUCCGAAGAAUUUUCUCAUAAGAAGAGAUCAAGCAAGAUUCAAGAAGGAGAAGUGGAAGUGCAGAUCUCGUUAGAAGAUUACCGAACUUUGCAGGAACAGUUGGGGGAUGCAAGGAGGAGAAAUAAUGAGCUGCAGACUGAAGCUGCCACACUGUAUGCAAAGCUUUCUGAGUUCGAAAGACUCACAGCUAAUUUGGCAGAAAGGGAAGCAGUAAUUGAGAAGUUAGAGAACAAUCUCCAAACAACUGCUCAGAGUGUCAAGCUCUUGCAAGAUGAGAAUGGAGAUCUUAAGCAAAGCUUAGAAAUUUUCUCUCAGAAAGAAGCUGACAUGAAUCAAAGGAUAAGAAGUUUUAAUGAACAAAAUGAAAAUCUGAUAUCAGAAAAUACAAAGGCUUUCAGCAGGCUACAUGAUGCAGAAAAAACCAUAGAAGAAUGUAGACUUGAAAUUGAACAGAUGAAAGUUGAGAUAUCAAAAUGGAUACCUGAGAACAGGAAAUUGAAGCAAGAAAUGGAAGAGAAGGCUCAGCUGGUGGAUGAUUUGAAUCAGCAAUUAAGCAAUACAAACAAAGAAAAGGAAGCAUUAAGUUCUGAAAACUUGGUACUUCUGAGCAAGAUACAGGAUGCAGAUAAAGCUUUGGCAGACCUCAGGGAUGAAACUGACCAAAACCUGAAAUUGAUUACUGAUAGGCUGUCUUCUGAGAAUGAGCACCUGUCAUCCGAGAAUGAAAAAUUGAAACUUAAGCUGGAGGAUUCUCAAAGACAAGGUGAUGAACUGAACCAGAAAUUGGCAGCUAGUGAGAAAGAGAAGGGAGCUUUGGAGUCACAAAUUUUAAGGUCAUCAUCUCAGAUGCAAGAAGCUGAGGAUACCAUUAAAAAUCUGACCACUGACUCUGAACUACUGAAAGACGAGCAAUCAAAAAUGCUGAAUAUUGUCGAUGAUCUGAACCAGCAAUUAAAAACCAAGAAAGAGGAACUUUAUGCUUUGCAAGUGGAGCAUAAUGAAGCUGUGGAAAAGACUCAACAAGCAUGGGAUAAAGAAGAAAUGCUUUUGGUGGAAAUAGAGAAAAUAAAGAAUGAGAGCUCUCAGUUGUUGCUUAACUGUGAGGAGCUGAAGCAGGAAUUCAAGGCUAGAAAUCAGGAAGCAUAUGAGUUAAAACAGAGGUUGGAAGCAACAAAUGAUGAGAAGCAUUUGUUGACCACAGGAAAUCUGGCACUUUCAAGCAAAAUAGAGCAGGCGGAAAUUAAUCUGAACCAUUUCAAAGCUCAGAUAGAACAACUAGAAUAUGAUAAAUCUCAGUUGGAGGUCAAAAUCAGUGACCUGGGUGUUGAACUGGAUGGAGCCCAUCUC
rnacentral:lncRNA from 1 species